rnacentral:tRNA from 1 species
GCGCUCGUAGCUCAGCUGGAUAGAGUGUCUGACUACGAAUCAGAAGGCCGUGGGUUCGAGUCCCUCCGAGCGCGCCA